rfam:Gossypium raimondii Chr05_contig_121, whole genome shotgun sequence.
UGUUAAAAAUUUUAUUCAUUUGUACUGUUAAAAAUUAGCGUAGCUCACGUAAUAACCAAAUAGUGACACAUAACGUAUCACAUGUAUCUUAUGUUGAUGUGCAAAGACAUUUCUACUAGUGAAAAUGGACGAAAGUUUUAACA